rnacentral:sRNA from 1 species
UUUCCAUUAAGCCAGAAAAGACAAUGCUCAAGUUAUAUAAAUAAACAUAGUGAUCAAGCACAGACUAGGAAGUAGGAGAUCAACAGAAUAUUACAUAAGCAAAUCAAAGUGAUUUGUGAAUGGAAAAACUGUGUAUGUAAAACUAAGUUUUCAUACGAGGUUUCUUCUAUGCAUCAGCAUCACGAUCAGAAAAGAAAUAGGCACUGCUGCAUCUGGUGACAGAAAAAGGAGAUGCUGAUUUGCCAUUAGAAAUCAAAGGAACUCUUAAGCGACGACACUGAACAAUGGGUGGAUUGAAACGAGAACUCUUGAACCUUGCAUACUUGGCUCUGAUAUUAAGAUCAAAAUCCACAGCUAAGUCCUUGUGAAUCCCAGCAUUUGUCUCCUCUUUAUACUCACCAAGUUGUUUAGCUUUGAGCUUAAUGAACCUCUGCCCUACAAACACUGCUUGAAGGAAGGUGGUGUUCUUGUGGCCUUGGUCAAAGGGUGUUAAGCUCACCCAACCAAAAGCAUUAUCUUUGUACCAAGCUAUUGCUGUGAUCUUCCUAUAGUACACUAUGAUGUUGUUGUUGGGAUUUCUCACUGUGACAUUGACCUUGAAGUUGUAAUACAAGGUGUUGUUGCUUGUGGUGAGGUUGAACUGUGUUAGAGAGGCAUCGGUUACGUGGAACUUGACACUUGAAGGAGAUAUGAUUAUCCAGAAGAGGAUAAAGGAAAACAUGAACAUGAACAUAAGGGUGUAAAGUGUGAGGAAGAUGUAGCAGAAGCCGCAGCGUGGUUUGAAACACAUGAUGAUUGAUUAUUAGGUGUAAGUGGUUGAUGAACAUAAGCGUAUUUGUAGCAGUUGCCAUUGAUGGUCUGUUGCUUGAUCUUUUUCUUGGAGAUUUCCUUGCAAAA